rnacentral:rRNA from 1 species
UGGGGAAUAUUGCACAAUGGGCGAAAGCCUGAUGCAGCGAUGCCGCGUGAGGGAAGAAGGUUUUAGGAUUGUAAACCUCUGUCUUAAGGGACGAUAAUGACGGUACCUUAGGAGGAAGCUCCGGCUAACUACGUGCCAGCAGCCGCGGUAAUACGUAGGGAGCGAGCGUUGUCCGGAAUUACUGGGUGUAAAGGGAGUGUAGGCGGGACUGCAAGUCAGGUGUGAAAACUAUGGGCUUAACCCAUAGACUGCACUUGAAACUGUAGUUCUUGAGUGAAGUAGAGGUAAGCGGAAUUCCUAGUGUAGCGGUGAAAUGCGUAGAUAUUAGGAGGAACAUCAGUGGCGAAGGCGGCUUACUGGGCUUUAACUGACGCUGAGGCUCGAAAGCGUGGGGAGCAAACA